AAGUUUGAGACUGAUAACAUUUCCAGCGGCAUGAACUCCUUUAUCAGUUCUUGCGGCUCUUGCUAAAGCAACUUUCUUUGGGUCAUCAGCGUUAUAAGAAGAAACGGCACCAGCCUUCACAAAAGCAUCAAAAAGAUCUCCUUCGAUUGUUUUACUAGGAGGAUUCAAUUGCAUACCAUGAUAUCCGCUACCACAAUAACCUACAAGACAGGCGACCUUUCUUUUCGGCUUUUUUUCUCCAACUACCAAAUUCUCUGGCCGACCUUCUCCAUUGUAUAUAGAAUUAGGUCGGUUCCUUUUCGCUUCUCGACGAUCACCAUUGUACCAAGUGCGUUUACCACCACGUCCCAUGCUGUAGUUAAUAUUAUUUGUUUUUGAUGA